rnacentral:lncRNA from 10 species
UUUAUAUUAAAGUGCUGUAUUAGUCAGAGUCCUAGCAGGAAACAGACGGCAAACCUUAAAAUGAAUUAAUAAAACAAAGUUUAAUGAAGCAACUAGUUACAAAGGAGUGAGCAGCAUUAAGGAAACCAACCAGAGAUGGUGACAUACCUAGGGACUAGUGACAGUACAAGUUGUUAUUGCCCUUCCACUGGAAAGGGCAAGGGAGUGAACUGUCUUAGUGGAACUUGGAGCCUGCUGGAGCCAUGGAAAAGGGGCUGCCUGAUAGAAGAAGCUAUGGCUCUUGCCAGAACUGCUACAAGGCAGGAAGGAGUGGUGGGUGAGGUGCUGUGAUUGUCUCCACGCCCCAGGACAUCGCAUUGAUGGAUGCACACAAGGGUGCUGAGAUGUUUCGCAGAGUCCACGUGCCCGUCCUUGGCCUUGUCCAAAACAUGAGUGUUUUCCAGUGUCCAAAAUGUAAACACAAAACUCAUAUUUUUGGUGCUGAUGGUGCAAGGAAACUAGCACAGACCCUUGGUCUUGAAGUUCUAGUUCAAAUAGUGAGAUUCAAAAUGCCUAUAUGAACUUUUCUGGUUCUAAU